UUCUGGUCAACUAGAGAUGAUGUGUCAGCUAUGAUUAAGAGAUCAGUUCCUUAAAGGGAAACCUUUGCUUUACUGGGACAUUAAGGACUGGUCAGUUAGACCUGAGAAACUAUGGAUGAUUAAAAAGAGACCAGUAUCACUGAGAAGAUCCAGUUAACAGUGUGCAGUGCCAACCAUGAGCUGCUGGACUCCAGUGAUACAAGACAGCAGACUGGGUGACCCAUGAAGAAGCAGCCAGCUUUCAUGUGACUCAGACUGACCUUAACUUAGUUGGAAGUGACCUUAAAUUCAGUGUCCUCCUCUCAUAUUCUAAGAGCUGUCAUUUACAGCUGCAACACUUGGAAAAGCUGGCACCACUCCUCACCUGGGAAGUAUUGGAGAGAAGGCCCUGGUGGUGUCAAGAAUGGGGUGCUAAAUGCCAAAGACUGCAGUUUCUGGCCUGAGAGGAACACAGAAGGUGGGUCAUUUACAGUAGCAGAGCAUAGUGACUUAGACAUAGAUAAGUAAAUCAGCUAUAGUAACAUAGUAACUUAGACUUAGAUAAGUAAACUUAUUAUAAAGCAACCCUAAAUAUCUUGAAAGACGAAGUCUUAACCCCCGCCCCGCCAAUGCUCUUCCCCUUCACUGCCUCAAGAAGGACCAACAGGAGAAAGAAGACUAAUGUCAGGGCUGGCCGCUGGCACUGCCAAACCCAGAUAAUAUUGCUAAUGCAAAGAAGUGCAUGCUGACAGGAGCCGGAUAUAGCUGUCUCCUGAGAGGCUGUGCCAGAGCAUGACAAAUACAGAGGCGAAUGUUAGCAGUCAACCAUUGAACUGAG